CAUAAUCGAGGCUUCAUUCCAACAAAUCGCAUCUGUCAAGAUUUCCAUCAGUUGAAUGCCAAAGUGAAAUUGUUCCAAAUCGAUCCCGAAAUCGAAAACCCUCCAGAUUUAUAAUAAACCUAGAUUCAUCCCAGAAAAAGGACAAUCAAAUUGAGCCAUAAUAUUGCCAAACUCGUGUUUUGAUAAUGAGGAUUAAGAGAGACCCACAAUGUCGUUAGAUGAUUGGCAACAGUAAAGUUGAUGAAUUUUCGGAUGUCAUAUAACAGACUUGAAGAAGAUGAAGUGGUAACUGGUGAAUACAAAUUGACUGAUUCAUAAGAUGAUGUUAAUGACGAUGAUUUUCAUUACGAUAAGAAUGAAAAUGCACGGAUUUUGGUUGGAUUAAAUGCAGAUCAUACUGUCAAUAUAUUCACUGCUCGAAAGGACAGCCAUAACAAAAAAA